rnacentral:rRNA from 1 species
CCCUUAGAUGUUCUGGGCCGCACGCGUGCUACACUGAGUGGAUCAGCGGGUCAGGUUGCGCGAAAGCGUUUCCUAAUCUUUAAAUCCGCUCGUGAUGGGGAUUGACGGUUGCAAUUUUCUGUCAUGAACGAGGAAUACCUUGUAAGCGCGGGUCAUCAUCCCGCGCUGAAUACGUCCCUGCCCUUUGUACACACCGCCCGUCGCUCCUACCGAUUGAGUGGUCCGGUGAGGCUUUGGGAUCUGAGCGGAAAGAGCGUUUCGCUCGUUUUGCUCGGAAAACUCAGUCGAACCUUAUCAUUUAGAGGAAGGAGAAGUCGUAACA